CUACGGGCUGCUGCAGGCGAGAAAACUUUGCAAUGUGCGAAAGCACGACAAGGUUAAUCCGAGUGGUUUCUGCUAAAGGAACCUUUUGACAGUCCUAGAAACACUGUUGAAUAAGGGGUGGGCAAGUUCUGGUGUCAGCCGCCGCGGUAAAACCAGCACCUCAAGUGGUCAGGAUGAUUAUUGGGCCUAAAGCAUCCGUAGCCGGCUCUGUUAGUUUUCGGUUAAAUCUGUACGCUCAACGUACAGGCUGCCGGGAAUACUGCAGAGCUAGGGAGUGGGAGAGGUAGACGGUACUCGGUAGGAAGGGGUAAAAUCCUUUGAUCUAUUGAUGACCACCUGUGGCGAAGGCGGUCUACCAGAACACGUCCGACGGUGAGGGAUGAAAGCUGGGGGAGCAAACCGGAUUAGAUACCCCCGUAGUC
rnacentral:rRNA from 1 species